rnacentral:tRNA from 1 species
CUUAGUUCAAUCGGUAGAACAAUGGUCUCCAAAACCAUUGGUUGAGGGUUCGAUUCCUUCUGCCC